UACGAAGGGUGCAAACGUUGCUCGGAAUCAUUGGGCGUAAAGCGCACGUAGGCGGCCUUGCAAGUCGGAUGUGAAAUCCCACGGCUCAACCGUGGACGUGCAUCCGAAACUGCUCGGCUCGAGUAUGGAAGAGGGUCGCGGAAUUCCCGGUGUUGAGGUGAAAUUCGUAGAUAUCGGGAGGAACACCAGUGGCGAAGGCGGCGACCUGGGCCAAUACUGACGCUGAGGUGCGAAAGCGUGGGGAGCAAACAGG
rnacentral:rRNA from 1 species